rnacentral:lncRNA from 1 species
UGGGGACUGAGUACUUACGGUUCUGGGGUCUCUGGGUGCUGGGAACUAAGUAUUUUGGGUGCUGGGAACACAGUACUAAAGGGGCUGGGUACUCUGUACUAAGGAUACUGGGGACACAGUACAUAGGGUGCUUAGCACUUAGUACUUGGGUUACUUGAGACUCAGUACUCAGGGUGCUGGGACUGAGUACUUGGGUACUUGUGGCUCAGUAUUUAUGGUGCUGGGGGCUCAGUGCUUUGGGUGCUGCAUGCUCAGUACUUAGGUGCUUGGGGACUGUACUGGCUGGUUUUGUGUGUCAAUUUGACACAGCUGGAGUUAUCACAGAGAAAGG